GCGGCAUCGGUGGUGUUGGUAACAAUAAUAAUAGUAACCAGAAAGGUCAGCAGCUACCACAUUUUCAGCAGGCGUUGCCACCGCAUAUGCAGCAGUUGCCACCGCACGUGCAACAGCAGAUGAAAGGGAUGAUGAAUCUCCCUCACAUGAAGGAUCUGAAGAUGCCGUCGCCGUUUAUGAAGGAUCCAAAAUCCGUCAAGUUUAGCAUUCCGGACGAAGAUGACGAGGGGAGCGAGUUCGAUGAUGAGUUCGAUGAUGAAUUUGACGAUGAGGACGAUGACGAUGACUUUGACGAU
rnacentral:lncRNA from 1 species